CUAGGAGUGAGGCUGGCAUUACCUCUAGAAAGAGUCUUUCUUCCCACUCUGAUGUGUCUAUAAUUCUUCCAGGCUGCAGCAGAAAAAUGGUGGCUCUGGCUUUGGAAUGAAUUUCCCCUAAAUCAGUGUUUCUCAGACAUUCCCAUCAAAGGUGCCACCACCUUGGAUGAACCCAAUGGAGUUCGCCGCAAGCAUGAAAUUUCUAUUUUCAUGAUGUGUAGCCCACAUGCUGCAGGAAAAAGGACCUACGAGACUGUACCGUGUAGAAGGUCUGCACUGCUGAGAAGAAGGGGGAGUGUGCCCACUGGCAGCUCCCUCACACAUCAAAAGGUCAAGGCUUUCCUUUACACCUGAGUAAAACCUGACACCCUUCCAGGGUUUGGCCUGUAAUUCCUGGGGAAGAGGAGUCCAUGACCCUCAUCCAGAGAAGAUGGAGCUCGAGACCCAGAGGAGAAGGAAGGAGGACCUUGGGGUCAGGAGUCAAACUUCAUGCGGGACAUUUGGAAGGUUAACCAAUGACAUGCAUCUGUAAGAGGCCACCACAUUUAUCCCACAAAAUAUUCAGGAUCAUAGGAGGUCAUGAUAUUUAUACAGGGCAGUAAAACGAACAGUAUCUACCUAGGAGUCACAAUGUCUGUCCAAGGGAAUAGAAUAUAUAACAUUCAGAUUCUAUUUACUGGGUGAGAUACUUUUCACUUCUAGAAUAGGUGAUGUGAAGGAGGCUGGCACCCCAGCUUCACGUCUCCUCAUUUAGGAGGGACUGGGAGCCUGGAGCUGGACGUUCUGAAGUUACAGAGGAACUGAUUUCCUCGCCAAGAUGCUCCCCCACUGUAGGGGUGUCAAAGGUAACUUAAAAAGUGUGAUCUCAGGCAGCCUGGGUAGCUCAGUGGUUUAG
rnacentral:lncRNA from 1 species